AUUGAACGCUGGCGGCAUGCCUUACACAUGCAAGUCGAACGGCAGCAUGGAAGAGCUUGCUCUUCUGAUGGCGAGUGGCGAACGGGUGAGUAAAGCAUCGGAACGUACCGUGUAGUGGGGGAUAACGUAGCGAAAGUUACGCUAAUACCGCAUACGCACUGAGGUGGAAAGCAGGGGAGUCGCAAGACCUUGCGCUAUACGAGCGGCCGAUGUCAGAUUAGCUAGUUGGUAGGGUAAAGGCCUACCAAGGCGACGAUCUGUAGCGGGUCUGAGAGGAUGAUCCGCCACACUGGGACUGAGACACGGCCCAGACUCCUACGGGAGGCAGCAGUGGGGAAUUUUGGACAAUGGGCGAAAGCCUGAUCCAGCCAUGCCGCGUGAGUGAAGAAGGCCUUC
rnacentral:rRNA from 1 species